CUACGGGACGCACCAGUGAGGAAUAUUGCACAAUGGGGGGAACCCUGAUGCCGCAACGCCGCGUGGAGGAUGACGCAUUUCGGUGUGUAAACUCCUUUUGUAUGUCAAGAAAAUGACGGUAGCAUAUGAAUAAGCACCGGCUAACUCCGUGCCAGCAGCCGCGGUAAUACGGAGGGUGCAAGCGUUACUCGGAAUCACUGGGCGUAAAGGACGCGUAGGCGGGUUGGAAAGUCAGGUGUGAAAUCCUACAGCUUAACUGUAGAACUGCACUUGAAACUUCUAAUCUAGAGUAUGGGAGGGGGAGAUGGAAUUAGUGGUGUAGGGGUAAAAUCCGUAGAUAUCACUAGGAAUACCUAAAGCGAAGGCGAUCCCCUGGAACAUUACUGACGCUAAGGUGCGAAAGCGUGGGGAGCAAACAGGAUUAGAUACCCGAGUAGUC
rnacentral:rRNA from 1 species